rnacentral:rRNA from 1 species
UAACUUUCAACAACGGAUCUCUUGGCUCUCGCAUCGAUGAAGAACGCAGCGAAAUGCGAUAAGUAAUGUGAAUUGCAGAAUUCAGUGAAUCAUCGAAUCUUUGAACGCAACUUGCGCUCUUUGGUAUUCCGAAGAGCAUGCCUGUUUGAGUGUCAUGA